UCUAAUACCGGAUACGACCUUCGAGCGCAUGCUUGAGGGUGGAAAGCUCCGGCGGUGCAGGAUGAGCCCGCGGCCUAUCAGCUUGUUGGUGGGGUGAUGGCCUACCAAGGCGACGACGGG
rnacentral:rRNA from 2 species